UGCGGCUCCGGCAGCCUUCCUCGGCCACCGUCUGCCGUAGCGGCUGCGUCUUGCACCAGUCACUGCGCAGGGCGAGGGGAUGGAGCCUUGAGGCCGAGACUUCCUGGACGCUGCGGCAGCACACAGGGCUGUAGCCAGGAGGGCCGACAGCACGAGCUUCUUCCACUGCAUCCUUCAACAAAGCACUACCUUGCUACAUAAGACCUGAGGAGGCCAGC